rnacentral:rRNA from 1 species
AGAGUUUGAUCAUGGCUCAGAUUGAACGCUGGCGGCAGGCCUAACACAUGCAAGUCGAACGGUAACAUUUCUAGCUUGCUAGAAGAUGACGAGUGGCGGACGGGUGAGUAAUGCUUGGGAACUUGCCUUUGCGAGGGGGAUAACAGUUGGAAACGACUGCUAAUACCGCAUAAUGUCUACGGACCAAACGGGGCUUAGGCUCCGGCGCAAAGAGAGGCCCAAGUGAGAUUAGCUAGUUGGUAAGGUAAUGGCUUACCAAGGCAACGAUCUCUAGCUGUUCUGAGAGUAAGAUCAGCCACACUGGAACUGAGACACGGUCCAGACUCCUACGGGAGGCAGCAGUGGGGAAUAUUGCACAAUGGGGGAAACCCUGAUGCAGCCAUGCCGCGUGUGUGAAGAAGGCCUUCGGGUUGUAAAGCACUUUCAGUUGUGAGGAAAAGUUAGUAGUUAAUACCUGCUAGCCGUGACGUUAACAACAGAAGAAGCACCGGCUAACUCCGUGCCAGCAGCCGCGGUAAUACGGAGGGUGCGAGCGUUAAUCGGAAUUACUGGGCGUAAAGCGCACGCAGGCGGUUUGUUAAGCUAGAUGUGAAAGCCCCGGGCUCAACCUGGGAUGGUCAUUUAGAACUGGCAGACUAGAGUCUUGGAGAGGGGAGUGGAAUUCCAGGUGUAGCGGUGAAAUGCGUAGAUAUCUGGAGGAACAUCAGUGGCGAAGGCGACUCCCUGGCCAAAGACUGACGCUCAUGUGCGAAAGUGUGGGUAGCGAACAGGAUUAGAUACCCU